rnacentral:rRNA from 1 species
GACGAACGCUGGCGGCGUGCUUAACACAUGCAAGUCGAACGGAAAGACCCUGCUUUUGUGGGGUGCUCGAGUGGCGAACGGGUGAGUAACACGUGAGUAACCUGCCCUUGACUUUGGGAUAACUUCAGGAAACUCGGGCUAUUACCGGAUAGGAGCUCCUGCUGCAUGGUGGGGGUUGGAAAGUUUCGGCGGUUGGGGAUGGACUCGCGGCUUAUCAGCUUGUUGGUGGGGUAGUGGCUUACCAAGCCUUUGACGGGUAGCCGGCCUGAGAGGGUGACCGGCCACAUUGGGACUGCGAGACGGCCCAGAAUCGUACGGGAGGCAGUGGUGGGGAAUAUUGCACAAUGGGCGGAAGCCAGAUGCAGCAACGCCGCGUGCGGGAUACCGGCCUUCGGGUUGUAAACCGCUGUCGCCUGUGACGAAGCGAGAGUGACGGUAAUGGGUAAAGAAGCACCGGCUAACUACGUG